UUGACAGGUCACAUGAACAAACCAACAAUGUGAAACACAAUCCAAACUUUAAUUUCGUAUCUUAACUGACAUACAACACGCAUUUUGAUUUAUCUAGUUGCUUCCCCUCGGUUAUGAAUCGUACGAGGGAUGUAUGAACGCAGCAUGGAGUUAAUUGACGCCACCUGCUGACCGGACUGUUAGCUCAAAAUGCUAAAAGGAGCAGACCAUUGAUCCCUGUGUAAUUCUUCUUUUACAUUUACGUUGAAGUUGCUCGGCUACCAUGUUUGUCUGCUGUAAAACCAACAAACACACCAUCUCCUUGCACUUAGGAAUCUCCGACAGGGAGAGGAUUCUCUUCAAAGCUGAAGUGUAAACGGGUUAAAGCACGAAAAACAAGGCGGCUUUCCCUCAUGGCACUGCAAUGCAGAUAUGUCUUGCACAGUGGCAGGAAACUAUGAAGACGCUUGUGAAAGAAGAAUAUAAGAGAGAGAGGAGGGAAGGGCAUGAAAGACAAGACCAAAGCACCAAGGAAAGAGCCAGCUAACAGCAGGGGAAGUGUGGCGGAAAAUUACAGUCUUCACAUGCCAGCCAGGAAGCUGUUGCUGCUGCUCAGUGGGGGCCAGUGCUGUGUGAAGAAGACAGAAGAAUUUGGGAGGAUGUUUAGUCUAUAAUGCCCGUGUGGAAGCAGAGGAAAUGUUUGAAUAUGUGGUCUUGCACUUUAGUCCAUAUUUUAACUAGUUUGAGCAGAAGAUUUUACACAUUUUCUGCCUGUC